UACAGAGGGUGCGAGCGUUGUUCGGAAUUAUUGGGCGUAAAGCGCAUGUAGGCUGGACGUUAAGUCGCGUGUGAAAGCCCCAGGCUCAACCUGGGAAGUGCGCGCGAAACUGACGACCUUGAGUGCUGGAGAGGGUGGCGGAAUUCCCGGUGUAGAGGUGAAAUUCGUAGAUAUCGGGAGGAACACCAGAGGCGAAGGCGGCCACCUGGACAGACACUGACGCUGAGACGCGAAAGCGUGGGGAGCAAACAGG
rnacentral:rRNA from 2 species